AGAGUUUGAUCCUGGCUCAGGACGAACGCUGGCGGCGUGCCUAACACAUGCAAGUCGAGCGAGGAAUGUCGGAUAGCUUGCUAUUUGAUAUUUCUAGCGGCGGACGGGUGAGUAACGCGUGAGCAACCUGCCUUUAUCAGGGGGAUAACGCAUCGAAAGAUGUGCUAAUACCGCGUAAGACCACAGCCUCACAUGGGGCAGGGGUCGAAGGAGCAAUCCGGAUAAAGAUGGGCUCGCGUCCGAUUAGCUAGUUGGUGAGAUAACAGCCCACCAAGGCGACGAUCGGUAGCCGACCUGAGAGGGUGAUCGGCCACAUUGGAACUGAGAAACGGUCCAGACUCCUACGGGAGGCAGCAGUGGGGAAUAUUGGGCAAUGGGCGAAAGCCUGACCCAGCAACGCCGCGUGAGGGAAGAAGGGUUUCGGCUCGUAAACCUCUGUCCUAUGGGACGAAGGAAGUGACGGUACCAUAGGAGGAAGCCCCGGCUAACUACGUGCCAGCAGCCGCGGUAAUACGUAGGGGGCGAGCGUUGUCCGGAAUGAUUGGGCGUAAAGGGCGCGUAGGCGGCCUGCUAAGUCUGGAGUGAAAGUUCUGCUUUCAAGGUGGGAAGUGCUUUGGAUACUGGUGGGCUGGAGUGCAGGAGAGGAAAGCGGAAUCACCGGUGUAGCGGUGAAAUGCGUAGAGAUCGGUAGGAACACCAGUGGCGAAGGCGGCUUUCUGGACUGAAACUGACGCUGAGGCGCGAAAGCGUGGGGAGCAAACAGGAUUAGAUACCCUGGUAGUCCACGCGGUAAACGAUGAAUGCUAGGUGUAGGAGGUAUCGACCCCUUCUGUGCCGCAGUAAACACAAUAAGCAUUCCGCCUGGGGAGUACGGCCGCAAGGUUGAAACUCAAAGGAAUUGACG
rnacentral:rRNA from 1 species